rnacentral:rRNA from 1 species
UCUGUGAAUGGCUCCUUACAUCAGCAGUCAUCUCCGUGGUAGAGUGUGGAAGGCACCGCCCUGCCAGGUGCCCGCUUGGAUAUCCACCAAAACCUAGUGGCUAAUACACGGUCGCCCCGGUCUGCUACGGCACGGUCUCGCCAGAAACGCUCAUCCGCUUUUGCCUGGCCGGCAGUGGAUUGCGCCCAGCCGCCCCUGAAGACCAGCGCCUGGAAAGGGCAGCGUGUCGUGGUUGACUCAGGCUGGUCCCCCGCGGACAACUGCGCUGGCAGAGUGGUGGCCUCGGCCACAGCAUUGCUUGACCACACGAACUUCUGACCUAUCAGCCUCGAUGGUGGUGUCGUGGACCACCAUGGCAGUGACGGGUAACGGAGAAUCAGGGUUCGAUUCCGGAGAGGGAGCCUGAGAGACGGCUACCACUUCUAAGGAGGGCAGCAGGCACGCAAAUUGCCCAAUGCUGAGACGUUCCUGGUGAGGCAGCGACGAACUGCAGCAAUUCCGCCUGUCCUCAGUGACCAGCGGGACUUGUAAUGGAUGCAAUCCAAACACAGUGAUGAGUAUCGACUGGAGGGCAAGUCUGGUGCCAGCAGCUGCGA